rnacentral:rRNA from 1 species
UAGGGAAUCUUCGGCAAUGGACGGAAGUCUGACCGAGCAACGCCGCGUGAGUGAAGAAGGUUUUCGGAUCGUAAAGCUCUGUUGUAAGAGAAGAACGAGUGUGAGAGUGGAAAGUUCACACUGUGACGGUAUCUUACCAGAAAGGGACGGCUGACUACGUGCCAGCAGCCGCGGUAAUACGUAGGUCCCGAGCGUUGUCCGGAUUUAUUGGGCGUAAAGCGAGCGCAGGCGGUUAGAUAAGUCUGAAGUUAAAGGCUGUGGCUUAACCAUAGUACGCUUUGGAAACUGUUUAACUUGAGUGCAAGAGGGGAGAGUGGAAUUCCAUGUGUAGCGGUGAAAUGCGUAGAUAUAUGGAGGAACACCGGUGGCGAAAGCGGCUCUCUGGCUUGUAACUGACGCUGAGGCUCGAAAGCGUGGGGAGCAAACAGGAUUAGAUACCCUGGUAGUCCACGCCGUAAACGAUGAGUGCUAGGUGUUAGACCCUUUCCGGGGUUUAGUGCCGCAGCUAACGCAUUAAGCACUCCGCCUGGGGAGUACGACCGCAAGGUUG